GAUGAACGCUGGCGGCGUGCCUAAUACAUGCAAGUCGAGCGAACAGACGAGGAGCUUGCUCCUCUGACGUUAGCGGCGGACGGGUGAGUAACACGUGGAUAACCUACCUAUAAGACUGGGAUAACUUCGGGAAACCGGAGCUAAUACCGGAUAAUAUAUUGAACCGCAUGGUUCAAUAGUGAAAGACGGUUUUGCUGUCACUUAUAGAUGGAUCCGCGCCGCAUUAGCUAGUUGGUAAGGUAACGGCUUACCAAGGCAACGAUGCGUAGCCGACCUGAGAGGGUGAUCGGCCGCCCUGGAACUGAGACACGGUCCAGACUCCUACGGGAGGCAGCAGUAGGGAAUCUUCCGCAAUGGGCGAAAGCCUGACGGAGCAACGCCGCGUGAGUGAUGAAGGUCUUCGGAUCGUAAAACUCUGUUAUUAGGGAAGAACAAAUGUGUAAGUAACUAUGCACGUCUUGACGGUACCUAAUCAGAAAGCCACGGCUAACUACGUG
rnacentral:rRNA from 1 species